GUGGGGAAUUUUGGACAAUGGGCGAAAGCCUGAUCCAGCAAUGCCGCGUGCAGGAUGAAGGCCUUCGGGUUGUAAACUGCUUUUGUACGGAACGAAAAAGCUCCUUCUAAUACAGGGGGCCCAUGACGGUACCGUAAGAAUAAGCACCGGCUAACUACGCGCCAGCAGCCGCGGUAAUACGUAGGGUGCGAGCGUUAAUCGGAAUUACUGGGCGUAAAGCGUGCGCAGGCGGUUAUGUAAGACAGAUGUGAAAUCCCCGGGCUCAACCUGGGAACUGCAUUUGUGACUGCAUGGCUAGAGUACGGUAGAGGGGGAUGGAAUUCCGCGUGUAGCAGUGAAAUGCGUAGAUAUGCGGAGGAACACCGAUGGCGAAGGCAAUCCCCUGGACCUGUACUGACGCUCAUGCACGAAAGCGUGGGGAGCAAACAGGAUUAGAAACCCCAGUAGUCC
rnacentral:rRNA from 1 species